CGCCGCGUGCAGGAAGACGGCCUUCGGUUGUAACUGCUUUUCUGUGGGACGAGCAAGGACGGUACCACAGGAAUCAGCCCGGCUAACUACGUGC
rnacentral:rRNA from 1 species